rnacentral:misc_RNA from 1 species
CUGAUGCGUCUUUUGGAUGCAAUCCAAAAGUACUCACCUUGUGUGCACCGUAAUUGUCUCUAGCAGUGUCUCUGUUGUGCACAGAGUUCACCGGCUCUUGGAGCUGGGCUGCUGCAGGGGAUAUCGACCUCUUGGAUUUGACUAGGCUGGCUGCUAGCAAGAAACGUCUCUACUUGCAAAGUGUCUGGCUGGGGGCUAGGAAGAAACGUCUCUACUUUCUAGCAAGAAACGUCGUUUCUUAAGUAGAUAUCCUCUACGAAAAAUACACCUUGUCUGAAUCUCGAGUCUUAAUACAUGUUGCAUAUGUCUUGACAC